rnacentral:lncRNA from 1 species
AGCUGCUACAAAGGUUUAAUAGGAUGUUCUCAAGCCAGCAGCAUCGGGUACUCGUAGACUGACACCGAGAGGAGGAGAUGCGACCAACACCGACAGUUGACAUAUUUGAGUGCCAAGUUACUGUUUUCAUUUUAACAGCUGAAGUAUUUUUCUUAAUACUGAGUUAGUUUUCAAACCCACUGAUCAAGAUGAGUGUUACAACUGACGGGGUGGACAGUGGCUUUUUUGAAGGAGUCAUCUUCGGAUUGUGCGUCGCUGCCAUUGCAAUAUUAGUCCCCAGCUACCUCGGUCUACUCUUGAAAUGUAUUGACGAGAGACUCGGCUACAACAUUAGUCCCGAAUCUUGGAGUCGCGAGGAUAUUAUAUUGCUCUGGUUGAUUUUAAAAAGCAAGCGCCCACGGCAAAAGCUAGAAGUAAUAAAAAGAGAGGUGUUGGAAGCCACAGAUAUGCUGAGACAGAUGAAGAAACGACAUCCAGUUCUGCCGGAUGGACAAAACGCACUUGUGAGGAGCUCGCAACGAAUUCAACGCGCUAACUCAUCAACUCAAUAGUAGGAACACAGCGAGAUCCACCUGACACAUUCUGCUCGGUGUUUGACCCCCCUCGCCAUACGACUGUUCGAGUCCCGGGAAUCGGAACCGUGGAAAUCUGUCAACCUAUCCUUCUAUUUUCUUCCACUUCCGAUUGGCAGAGGUCACCGGAGGACUCCAGAACCACCACGCAAUGCACCAAUUUAAUAACCUCCAUGACAAAUUUUCCGUUCGCUUGUUAAAAAAAAUAGAACUUGUGCUCAGCACUUCACAGUUAGUCUGAGUUGCUUUGCCAUUGUCUCGUCCGUCUUUUCAAAUCAAGUACCACGCAAUUGAUUAACAUAUUUUAAUACGUAGAAAAUGUUUGCUGGCGAGGCUCACCGGAUUAGAAGUGUCCUGUUUCAUGAAACAAUUCUAUGAUAAUAAUAAUUUCGUUUUAAGUUCUUUAGGAAGCAUGAUUUAAACGUUAAAUUAGCAUUACAUAAUGGAAAACAACUCCAACAUAAUCUAAAACCUUGAGGACCACUUGAGAGAAACCCAACUUCAGUGAAUAUCUGCGAGAAUAUCAACCCUCUGUAACGUCUUUCCGUGUUAUCACGAGGUUGAAACUUCGGAGGAAACUCUAAUUAUUCCAGAGAAGCCAACUUUUCGAAACUUCAUCUUAUCAACACGAAGCUCAAAUGUCAGAGGAUUCCUUCAGGGCUCGAACUCUAGCAAAUUUCGUAGCGAGACACGCAGAACCUUGAAAUUCUCGUGAAUUUGUAACUCUUCAGCACCCUAGAAAACCAUUGUAUUACUUGAAGAACUUUGAAUUUCUCGUGAAUUUGUUACUCUUGAGCACCCUAGGAAAUCAUUGUGUCACUUGAAGAACUUUGAAUUUCUCGUGAAUUUGUUACUCUUCAGCACCCUAGAAAACCAUUGUGUCACUUGAAGAACUUUGAAUUUCUCGUGAAUUUGUUACUCUUGAGCACCCUAGGAAAUCAUUGUGUCACUAGAGGAACUUCGAAUUUCUCGUGAAUUUGUUACUCUUCAGCACCCUAAAAAAUCAUCGUGUCACUAGAAGAACUUCGAAUUUCUCGAGAAUUUGUUACUCUUCAGCACCUUUGAAGUUCAUUGUGUCACUUAAAGGCUGGAACUGGAAUCGAAACUGCGCGACUAAGAGACUCAAAAUAAAUCAUCAGAAGGAUAGCGUGACACACUCCAGAACUUUGAAUUUCUCGUGAAUUAGUAACUCUUCAGCACCUUAGAAGAUCAUCGUGUCACUUGAAGCCUGGGACUGGAAUCGAAACUGCGCGACUAAGAGACUCAAAACAAAUCACCAGAAGGACAGCGGGGAAUUCUCGGACAUGAUUGUGUGAGCGCGUGGCUGAAAGUAAGCGAUCCGGACUGGAUAUCCGAUUUGACGUGCGGGGUUAGAGCGUGGCCGGUGGCUCGGGGAGAUUACUAGAGCGUAGCA